CUAUUUUGUAUGUUGAGGGAGGAAAGAUCAACAAAUAGACCUUCUGUAUUGAUUCCCAAAAGAACUGAGAGGAAGGCAUGGUCUAUAGACAUUUAAGUGUCAACAUCUUCCAUUUGGCAUUGACCGACCCUGUAGCUCUAAGGGUAUCAGUAAGAAACCACGACGAGCAGAUCACUAUCUGUCUUAUUACAUGAUUAAUGGGUUCCCAGAAAUCUUCUUUUAACUACGUUUAAAAACCCUAAGUGAUAUAUAGAUCUCUACAGGAAGUAAGAUGAUAUCAAUAAUAUGGGAGAUUCUUCAGCCUGCUAAAGUGACAAUGUUCAUUGUUACCUUCUGGUACUUCAAGACGUCAGCAAAAAAGAAUGCACCUAAGAAACAAGAAGUUGGUGACCAGCUGAAAGCCUAGCAUGCUAUUAAAGAGGAGCCUGAAGUCCCUUGGCAGUGAAAAAUUAUAGAAAAGCUGCUCCACAUGCUUAAUUUUGUUGUAUUUUGCCUUGGAUUGGAAUAUUCUUUUCAAGAUUAUAAACAUAUUUGUCACUCAGGGAAGAGUUACCUGACUUUACAGGAGCUGUUCUCAUACUUGCACGCAGACAUGUUGUCCUCACAGACCCCCUUCUACGGAGAGGCACUUGAUACGGCAUUGUACGGCCUGAGCGGAGCAGCAUUGCCAAGGCGUUGAAGAAAUACUGAUGAUGAUGAUGAUGAUGAUCUCACUUGACUUCCUUUUUGAGUCCUAAAGUAGGAGUUAGAAUUUGUCACAAGACUUUGUGUUUCCAUUGAGAAACAAGUUUUCAAAUAUAAUUUUGAUAAAUGACAGUUAAUAGAAGUAGAUAGACUCUAAAAAUGUUUGACUGCUUGCAUGAUCCAAGCCUUUGUCCUGCAAAGCAAAAAAACUGCGUUUCCAGUGAUGGUAAAUCAGUUAACUACCUAAACUUUCACUAAGAUGCACAUCAACAUGGAUAACACAGUUGUGUUGAAUGAAUAUGUUUUGAAAGACUUCCCCUAGGAUAAUAUAUAAGCAGUGUUUGUGACUUCAGUUUUUGUUUGUCAAUCAUAGGAAGCUAGCUACAUUUUGCUAACUGAAUUGAAAAAUCACAUUCAUUUUGUGGAUACAGCAUAAGAUAAUUGUCAAAGUAUUAAUAAGUGAUUGAAAAUUAUGCUAACUACAAAACAGCAUGAUCUGACUCCCAGAGGUGUACAUAGGUAUAUUGCAAUAUCUUAAACCAAGGCUCAGGAAAUCUUGCCUCAGAAAUGAGGACUUGAAUUUGGAAACUUGAGGAAUAUGUUAUAAUUAUUAAGGAAUAUCAGAUUAGAUACCUGAAGGAGAGCUUGAUGUCUAAGAAUGUGAACUGCUUUGAUGGUGAAACCACCCAGGCAGCUACCAAGGUAAUCCCAAAGUUGCAAUUUAAAUCACUGCAUUUCAGGAAAGCUAAGGAUCUUACUUUGGUUUAAAGAAAGGAAAGCUGAAAUUCUGAAGUCUACAUGCUCUCCUGAAGUCACCUGUUUAUGGCAAGUGUUUAUGGCAAGUGCAGACCAAAGCAAACAACAAGCUUCAAUUCUGUCUGGUAUCCUGGAGAAUGAAACAGGUGAAGAUGGGUACAAUUUUAGCCCCAUGCAGCCUUGCACAGAAUAAUUAAAUAUCUGUCAGACCAGAAAGAUUAAGGCUCUGACACAAGUGUAAUGGUUUGUAAAUUCACCCAAGGAAGAGUAUGGCAGUUCUGUUUUCUGGUUUGUCUCACUUCCCUGACGCAAAGCUUCGUAUUAAAUCUUUUACAUGAAAUGAAAAACUUCUGCCCUGGCAGUUCUCUUGUUACCAGACUAAAAGGGAUAACUAUGGCUCUUAUUCAGUCUCUUCAACUCUAGUUAUAACAACAUUCAGUUAGAUCACUGAAAAGUGAAACAUUUGUUAUAUGGGAUUGCUCUUCCUUGUGAAUAGGCUCAUAUAAUUAAUGAUAACUUCCAGUCAGAGGUAGAACGAAAAGGCUGGGUCUCCCACAUCUUGCUGAAACUGCUUUAUCACUGAGCAUUCUUAACAGAAAAAAAAAAUUCUAUGUGGGUUUUUUUCACUAGGAAAUUGGUCUCUGAAAACUUCCACCUGAAUCGGGCUCUAUGGUGUGUGUGGACAGUAAUGCCACCUUGUGGCUCUUGAGAGAUGUAGGUCUCUAGGCGCUCAUUAACAAAGACUCAAGACUUUGCUGGGUCUGCGAGGCUCAAAACCACACAAUCACCUACUCAAGUUUCUUACUAAAAACAAGCGUAAUUCUAGUUUGGCUGCUCUUAAUCAGAAGUUCUGAAGAUCCCAAUUCCUGGUUUUGAUCUAUCUUCAGUCUUGCACCUGCAUUGCUUACGCUCGCAACAGUAAGACAAAAAGGAGAAUGUCCUCAAGUCAGGACUGAAGAAUUCCAGAAGAUGGCAGGCCAGUUCAAAGACAUUCUCAGAAACAUGUUUAGGAAGCGGAUAAAUUCUGAAGAAACUUUCUAUGAUGAAGUAUGGACAGGUAACCUUGAUGUUAUGAAGGACUGUACUAAAUUUUAAUUAGUUUGGUUUGUUUAAACAAGUAGAAAAUAGAAAAAUCUGUGGUAGAACUUCACCUCUGUUGGCUCUCCAGAAGCCAGUUAGUUGUUCUCUAGAACAAUUAAAACUCCCUAAAAUAAAUAAAACAAGCUUUAACACCUUGAAGAGCCUUAUAUUCCUUAAGACUGAGUGACAUAUAAAUGCUCCCAUUUCAAGAAACCUUUCCUGUCAUUACAUAUUCUUAUACACACAUCACCUAUGCCCACAUUUUUCACUCUUUGUCAUAGUCUUUUAUGCCAUGUAUAUCUUCCUAUGUUGAUUUCUUUAUCAUAAUGUCUUUCAUACCUAUUUCUUCAGUUAUUUUCUCUUUUCUGUAAGGUAUAUAUUGAAGUGGACUAAGAAGACUUGGAUAUUGUUCUUGGCUGCAGAUGUGUCAACCACUGUUUUCAUAACUUGGUUCUGAUUAGUUUCAUUUUGCAUCCAAACUAUGUAUAAAGGAAUUAAAGUUCUUUAAACUGCUGAAACUAGCAGCAGUCUAAUUACUCUUAAGAAAUUAAUGAGUAUGUUUGUGGCCAAAGAAAACAAGAUCAUACUAAAAGCAGAAGAAAUUUGUUUUUUACCACUACAUGGAUUAUAUUAAUUCAUUGAUAUGAAGACAGCAAAGAAAACCUGUUAUAUAGCCUCUCUUGCUCCUGUUGUGAUCUUGCUUGCUCUCUCUUUCAUUUAAUCCCAAGACACAUGUGAUCAUAAAAUUAAAUUAAAUCAAAUUCAGCACAUAAAAACAACAUUUAAAACUGUGGAAUUCAUCCAUAUGGUGGUAUGUUCCAAAUAUUAUCUCAUACCAUGUUGACAAAUUCCUAACAUAUGUCUAAGAUCCUUACAGGGUCAGAACUGUUUUAGUCGAGUGUAUUGGGUCGUAGCUGUCAGGCCUGCUAGCAGAGGUAGUAAUUCCUCCAAUUUAAAAGUGGAUUAAAAAGAAUUUUUGGCAUCCUCUAGCUAAUAAAAGAUGAGGUUAUAGUCUCCUUCAAAUCAGGCUUUACAAAAUCUAUGAUCUAAACUAGACAGGAGUACACAAAAAUGAACAUAAACUAGAUGAAGAAAGAGAUUUCUUAAGAAAACUUUAAGGUCAACUGAAACAAUCACUCAUAAAAUUACAACAAAGAGUCUGAUAACAUAAUCUUAAAUUAUUUAAUCCUGCUGUAAUCUGCCAUUCUUGCUUACCUUAUUUUGUCUCUGCUGGGAUACUUCUACUGAACAGAAUGCUAGAAGCAGCUCUGUUACAGCCAAUUUAUUGUCUGAACAGAGGGCAGGAAGCCAAACCUCUGAAUAAAACAAAAGUCCGACGUGGAUUUAAUCUUCUAGAUCUCUACACACUCUCAUUUAUAUCAACAUUCCAAUGGUUCUAACUAUUCCUGGAAUUACAAAAGGGUUGGAAAUUGUAGGAGCAAACUUUUAAAUGCCUGUUUCUGUAUGAUGCCACAGAACUGCCUAGAACUGCACGCAAAGUUUUAGCCACUAGUUUUGUGUAUUCUAUUCCUAUAUUUUAUGUCACUAAUAUUGUUCUUGUUAUCUGUCAUUCUUCCAGGGCUGAGUCACGUGCAGAUACUAGGGUUAGAGUAAUACAGACAUAUCAAAAGUAGGAGUUGUAGCCUCUGUUUCAGGGAGCUCAAAACAAACUUACUGCUUAAACAUUUUCCCAGCUAUCAAAUGGGCUUUGCCUGCACGGCAUCAAUUCCCAUACUUGGCAUCAAUUCCCAUGCUUGUGACAUGAGUGAGCUGCUAAAAAUUAGAUGUGAUUCAUCUCUUUGCCCAUGAGGCCCUGGUAAUAUGUAGGUUUUCGUUAUCAAAUUUAGUACAUUCAGUUGGCCUUACCUACCUGUUUGCAUCCCUUCACUCCUAGUGGUGAGUCCUUCCUAUCCAUAUUAUCUAACCCUUUUUUAAUUAGUGAGCCUUGCAUUUUUAUAGGAGUGAGUAACAUUUUUAUUUAUCUCACUGAAAUGAGAAAAAAUCCCAUAAAAUCAAUUACAUUUACUUUUUUUUUGGCCAAAGCUUUCUGAAAAUCAAGAAGCUACUGCUUUUAUCUAGAGUUUGUUUACUAUAUAAAGAAGGUUACAUAAUUUAUCUGUGUUUGAUUUAGGAGAAGUCUUUUUCAUUUUCCAAGCCCUCACCAGACACUGGUAAUGUAUUGGAUCAACAGAAAAACUUUAUUGAAACACAUACUUAGUGACAAAGCAAUUCGAUACUUUGAAAUCUCAAGUCUUUGUCUAUUACCCAAACAAUCUGCAAAACGUGGGGAAGUUUCUAAAUAGCAUGGUGUAAGAGUGUCCUUCCAGUACACAAUCAUCCUAAUUUUGUGUGGGAUAGAGUUAAUUUUCAUGCUGGUAUAUGGGAUAAUGUUGUGAUUUAGAUUUAGGAUGAGAAUAAUGUUGAUAGCAGACUGAUGAGUGGAGUGUUAAGCAUUAAGACAAGGACUUUUUCUGUUUCUCACAUCACACUACCAGUGAAGAGUCUGCGAGAUAUGAGUAGCUGGGAGGAGACAGAGGUGAUAUAGCUGACCGUGACUGACUGGAAGGAUAUUCCAUACUCUAUGGUGUAAAGCUUAGUAAUAUUAGCUGCAGAUAAAGCUGGCUGGGGGCUUGGGAGCCGGCUCUGUAUCUGCUAGCAGGUGGCUACCGGCCACAUUGUGCAUUACUUGUUUUGUAUACUCUAAUUUUAAUGACAGUUAUUUUUGUUUCCCCUCCUGUUUCUGGCCUAUUAAGCUGUCUUUAUCUCAAUGGUGAAUUUAAUGUUUUUUCCCCCAGUUCUCUUACUUAUCCUGGGGUGGUGACAGGGAAGUGAGCAAGUGUUUUGUAUGGUGUUAGCUGCCUGCUGGGUUAAACCACAAGAGUCCAUUUUGGCACCCAACCCAUGGGUGUGAAGGGUUAAGAUAACCACUGCUUUGACGUGUUAAAACAAAUUUGUUAUAAGCAAUUAGUUGCAUUGGUUUAAUAGUUACUGGCCACAAUGUUGACUUAUUUGAUCCCAACGUUGUUGUGUGUUCUCAGAGUUGCAUUGGUAACACCUUACUUGCUAUGUUCCCUGCUGUGUCAUUUCUCAGCUCUGGGUUAGGGUUGAUGUUGUUGAGCUUUGUAACGUGGGGUUUUGAUAUGAUAAGAUGCCUCUUGGCAGGACUGAGGCAGUGUGUACACCCAGCAUCGCUGCUGCACCUGCAUUCCUGUCAGGAAUGACACAUAACUACACCUCCAGGGGUCCAUCCAUGGGAAUGACACCCUCUGCCAUCCUUCCUUUCUCCUCCAGGUGACUUACAACACCUCUUGGAAAGUAUUCCCAGGGUGACCAAACCAGCACCUUUGCAUUGCUAUGACACAUGAAUAUGUCUCAGCUCUUGUGUAAGUUUACACAACAAGGUAAGAACAUCACCCACAGAUCUGCCCUAAGGCAGGAUAGUUAUGAGUGGCAAGGGGUGUGGGAUAGGAUGGGCAAGUGCCUAGGGCAGUGGGCAUCUCCCAGUGUUUUAAGACUUCACCUCUAAAAACCUAAGGAAUGCGGAAAAAUGUAUUAAAAUAUUUGGGCAAGAUGAGCUGUCACCCAAUAAUUCCAGAGAGACACAAAUCACUGCAAUGUGCUGGGGCCUGGUCCAGGCUGACCGAGAUCUGUUCAGCAGAGCUCAGUGCCUGCUGCAGGAGGGAAGGUCUCUGGAACUAAAAGCAAAGUGACAGAGUCCAAGGCUGAACCAGAAAACCAACCUGUGCCAGUAUUAUCUGAGAUUGUACGCAAGGAGAAAUACUGGAAGAAGAAGUGUGUGGAAGCAGGUGACAGCUGGUCUGUGAGCUAGGAAGAGUGAGUUAGAAGAAGCUGGUAAGAGUUGUGUUUACCCCUGAAAGGAAUUCUGCCAAGGUUGUUGACAUGGAAACUAAGAAGAAGAAAAAGAUAAACAAAAGAAACCUGCAGUUCAGUAUAGCUGGAAACAGUGGUGUAGACUGCUCUGUAACAAAGAACAAUGUGUUGAUUUAUUGUAACCAAUGAAUAAGUAUAAACUUUGUUGGGAAUGUAUAGAAGACAACAUGCUGUUAUAAUAAAGAGAGCCUUUUGAAA